GAGCCCUCUUGCUGCAGAAGUCAGGUGUGGAAGGGUUUUGCAGAUGUCUUCAUUUGGACUGGCUUCUACAACUCUUCAUAUCAACUGGCUGGGGUUUUCUGUGGUGGUCUCCAUCCGUUGCAAAGAGGAAUUUCCGUGUUCUGCGCUCAGGAGCAGCUCAUAACAACUACUACCCGGAUUUCCAGGAUUGACACGGUGAGGUGGAAAUGCUAGUCCUGCAGAGCCUAAGUGGAGAAAGCACGUUUUUUCUUAAGCAAGCUGCAAACAAGUCCGGAGCCUUUCUGUCUGCACACCCUGUCUCUGUUUAAAGGAACAGACACCCAUUUCUCACCGAUGAACUGUUAGGUAAACAAUAAUAUAUUUUCUUAAACCCAGAAAGUGGUUCAACACACUCAGCACGAAGUGAAUGGCCUUCAGCAUUCCAGGGCUGGGCUCAGGACAAAGGUCUCCAGAGGAAGCCGCUUCCUCUUCUGAAAGGAGGAAAGGAGGACGACAGGAAACCCUGGCCAGAGGGCGCCGGGGAGCUGCGAGGCCACAGACAGGAGCCAGCCUUGAGUCUGUCUAAAGAACUCGGUGUGCUCAGCUAUCCCUCGCCCAGGCUGGCAGGAGACCACAGCUUUGGAUCCCUCGGUGCUGUGUUCCCUUCCCUUCCCCGCUCAAACACAUGACCUCGGUGCACCCGAUGUCAGGAGUUCACAGAUGUGGAAACUGAGACCUGGAAGAUUGAGCUCUCACUGUCACAUAGAAAAGGUUCUCUUCAGGAAUCAAAGACCAGUCUAGUUUGCAUCAAAGCUCAUUUCUAACACCUCAGCAUUGACUUCCCAGAGCCCAGAUUUCUGAGCGCAGAGACAGUGUCCCAAGGUCUUGUAGGUGAGACAGGGUCAUCUUUCAGCUCUGGAGGCCAGGAUAUGAGGGGUAACUAUCUUAUGGAAAGUGUUGGGGUUCCUGAGGCCACCACUCAAGUCCCUGCCACUGUUAGUUUCAAUAAAAGGACAAGAUGAAUUCAGCCUGGUCCUCUUGUGUCGAUAUUGCACUUCCGGUUUCUGUCAUCUUCCUUCUCUCUGGAUGAUUCCUGUAACUGCCAGCCAAGGAGGCCACCAGGCCUA